rnacentral:rRNA from 1 species
CCUACGGGUGGCAGCAGUGAGGAAUAUUGGUCAAUGGGCUAAGGCCUGAACCAGCCAAGUCGCGUGAGGGAAGACGGUCCUCUGGAUUGUAAACCUCGUUUGUCGGGGAGCAACGAGGCCACGGGUGGCCGAAGUGAGAGUACCCGAAGCAAAAGCCUCGGCAAACUCCGUGCCAGCAGCCGCGGUAAGACGGAGGCUGCGAGCGUUAUCCGGAUUUGUUGGGGUUAAAGGGUGCGUAGGCGGAACAUUAAGUCAGCGGUAAAAUCGGGGGGCCCAACCCCUUUAAGCCGUUGAAACUGGUGGUCUUGAGUGGGCGAGAAGUAUGCGGAAUGCGUGGUGUAGCGGAGAAAUGCAUAGAUAUCACGCAGAACUCCGAUUGCGAAGGCAGCAUACUGGCGCCCGACUGACGCUGAGGCUCGAAAGCGUGGGGAUCGAACAGGAUUAGAUACCCUAGUAGUC